ensembl:lncRNA LINC01938 long intergenic non-protein coding RNA 1938
GAACACUUUGGGCUCCUCAUGCCUCUGAAUCAACGGGCAAAGAAGAGAGUUAUAGAUCCUAACCACCCAGGAGAAAUUCGGUGGCCACUACACAAACAGAGUAAGAGGAGCAUUUCUAUGAUGCGGGAGAUCCUCUAGAAUGUUUGUUGGUAUUCCCAGGUCCUGUGAUUAAAGUAUGUGGAAAACUAUAGCAGCCCAAUUCAGGAUGUUUCCAGAUACUUCAGUAAGUGAGAACUGUGUCACUACGCCACAUUGACCAGUUGAGAGGCUAGCUCAGUGCAAAGAAAAUAUGAAAUGAGUAGGGGAAGAAGGUAGCUAUAAACAUCAGUUAUGGCCACAUGACCAAUUAUAGAAACAAGACUAGAAUAGUGUGAGUACUUAUUUCUUAUUUUGGUAUAACUAUGUUUGUAUUUGUAUUAACCAAGUAUCUCCCUUUUCUUUCUCUUUCUUCUUAUCAAAGAUGUAUUAAUAGUAAUUAAAUUUAUAUCAUAGUCUUGAAAUUACAAGAUAUCCAACUUGAAGCAUGCAUUGGGAGAAGAAUAAAUAUCAUCCAAAGACAAAAAAACAACAACACGACGUUGUGUUCUACUAAAAGGAAAAAAGCCUAUUUUCAGAUGUACUUAGAAGAGAUACACCAUGUUAGGUGGAAGUUUGACUUUGUCAUGAUCUUUUGUGUAGUCUAAGUAUGAUUUAAGAUGUUUAUGAGUGCCAAAUUGGUAAGGAGUGGAUUGUGCUGGCUCUGCAAACUAUGUCAGCUUGGCUGUACUGGGCUACAUUUCCCAGAGUACCCUUCCCUGUAUAUCUCCACUUAGGGUGGGCCAAGAGAGAUUCUUGCAGGCGAUUUAGUGGGUGGAAGUAAAGCAACAACUAUUUUAUAUCUUGCACAUAUUUUUGUCAGUCUGGUUAAAUUAUUGAUGUGAGGCAUGAGGUGGACCUACAACUAGUGCACCUUCCCUUUGAUAUUUCUUCAGCUUUUCUGACUCUGCGGCCAGGUGUUUGUAUUUAACUCCACGGUGAGGAGACUCAUCUUCUGACGGACCUAACCUAUACCAUCAAGCUCCAGCACCACAAGCAAAGACAAAAACCUUGCGGAAACUAUUUAACUAACUCCCACAAUUGCAUAAGGAUCUAAAUGAAAAUAUUUCUGCAGUGAACCAGUUCUAUUGUUUUAAAUAUCACCCUUAUUAAAGAGAGCUUUGACACUUUUCUAUGUAAA